CCCAAGAUGGCCGCCUGUUGUUUACUUGUUUCGCGGCGUCUGAAGCGUCUGUCAGACGGCGUGGAAACGCGCAAAUAAGCGUUUGUAGUAGUCAUUGCAGGUAUUGCAAGGGUUUUUCUUACCAGGUGAAGUCACAGCAACAGUUUUCCGUCAAUUUUGGCGUGUGUGGAGUGUUAAAGUUCAAUUAGAUUCGUGCGAAACUGUCAUCUACCUUGACGGCGGGCACCCAAGCCAACCAAGCCUUUGUUGUCUGUCACUCGAUCGACGAUUUCUGCACAAGAAUAUUAGCUGCCAUGGUUAGCAAUCAGCCGUCAGAAGAGACGGUGAGAAUUGUAGUGACCCCAGACUUUAUGGAUCGGAUACGAAUGCAAAUGGAAAUCAACAACAUGAGGAUAGCAAGACUUCUCGAUGAAGCUGAGCGGAAUGACAGAUUGAUAAAGGAGAAACUGGCAAGUAAAGAUGCUGGCGCAAGACCUCUGGCCAAAAAGAAGCAUAAGAAGAAGACAAUGAAGGCUUAAUUUUGUGCUGUUAUGUGUGUUAUGGCAAGUUAUCUCCCUUGCUUCCAUUCUCUAAACCCUAUUCUUCAUAUCCGUUCCAAUUCAUGGCACUCACUUUUAAAAUGGAUUAAUUUGUUUUGAAUGUCCUAAUUUUCUUCUUGCUACACUCAAAGUGAAAAGAAGAAAGGCUUUGCCAACCGUUAUUGUUUUAUCUUUGCUUUUAAAUGCUUGUUUCUAUUGAAUUUCCUUCUUGGUACACUCAAAGUGAAAAGAAGUGAGACAGUUCAUUUCAUAU